rnacentral:piRNA from 1 species
AAUUCGAUUUUGUCCUACUUAACUAC